AAAAGCUGAAUCAGGAUAUUUCUGUGUGAAUGCACAUUCCUCACUAAAUCUCUCAGGCAGCUGCUUUAGUCACUGUUACUAACACCUUGCUCUGUCAUCUCUUUGUAUACAUGUCUAAUUUAUCAGUUUCUUGUAGAUUGUCAGCAGCCUGCUGCCUCCGUACCGCCACAGUGCUCACAACUAGCCGGGAGGCAAGACUGCCCGACUGUCAGGUAAAUUCAGAUGUCCUUUCCCUUCCACCCAGCUGCAUGUCAGAUCCAUAGACCCCAGCUCCCCUUUCCGACACUGAACUGCCUAGGCAUCAUUGUAUUUUGCUGUAUUUUAUUUCAAGUGUGGGCUACACAGACACACACUGGACAUGUAGUCCCUGUGUUCCCAGUGGGAAUACAAGAGAGCUGGGGUUUAUUUUGCUGGCUGCCAGCUGGUAGACUACAGGCUGCCUUCAGCCCCUUUGUCUGUGUAAAUACUUGGAUUAGUCCACUGUUUCAUUCCUUUCCAAAAAAUAAAAGCUGGAAUUGUUAUGA
rnacentral:sRNA from 1 species